rnacentral:tRNA from 1 species
CCCUCGGUAGCUCAGUGGUAGAGCGCUUGGCUGUAGACCGAGAGAUAGGGAGUUCGAUUCUCCCCCGAGGGA